CCUACGGGAGGCAGCAGUGGGGGAUAUUGCACAAUGGGGGGAACCCUGAUGCAGCGACGCCGCGUGGGUGAAGGAGUAUUUCGGUAUGUAAAGCCCUAUCGGCAGGGAAGAAAUUGGACGGUACCUGACUAAGAAGCCCCGGCUAACUACGUGCCAGCAGCCGCGGUAAUACGUAGGGGGCAAGCGUUAUCCGGAUUCACUGGGUGUAAAGGGAGCGUAGACGGCCAGGCAAGCCUGGAGUGAAAGCCCGGGGCCCAACCCCGGGACUGCUCUGGGAACUGUCCGGCUGGAGUGCGGGAGGGGCAGGCGGAAUUCCUGGUGUAGCGGUGAAAUGCGUAGAUAUCAGGAGGAACACCGGCGGCGAAGGCGGCCUGCUGGACCGCGACUGACGUUGAGGCUCGAAAGCGUGGGGAGCGAACAGGAUUAGAUACCCCGGUA
rnacentral:rRNA from 1 species